AUUGAACGCUGGCGGCAGGCCUAACACAUGCAAGUCGAGCGGAUGAGGGGAGCUUGCUCCUGGAUUCAGCGGCGGACGGGUGAGUAAUGCCUAGGAAUCUGCCUGGUAGUGGGGGAUAACGUCCGGAGACGGGCGCUAAUACCGCAUACGUCCUGAGGGAGAAAGUGGGGGAUCCUCGGACCUCACGCUAUCAGAUGAGCCUAGGUCGGAUUAGCUAGUUGGUGGGGUAAAGGCCUACCAAGGCGACGAUCCGUAACUGGUCUGAGAGGAUGAUCAGUCACACUGGAACUGAGACACGGUCCAGACUCCUACGGGAGGCAGCAGUGGGGAAUAUUGGACAAUGGGCGAAAGCCUGAUCCAGCCAUGCCGCGUGUGUGAAGAAGGUCUUCGGAUUGUAAAGCACUUUAAGUUGGGAGGAAGGGCAGUAAGUUAAUACCUUGCUGUUUUGACGUUACCAACAGAAUAAGCACCGGCUAACUUCGUG
rnacentral:rRNA from 1 species